rnacentral:sRNA from 1 species
UUCAGGGAUAGGGUAGCUCCCGAAAAGCCAGUUUCCGGCUGGCCUUCCCUGAUUUUUUUCAAACCGGG